ACGUAGGUGGCAAGCGUUAUCCGGAUUUACUGGGUGUAAAGGGCGUGUAGGCGGGAUCGCAAGUCAGAUGUGAAAACUGGAGGCUCAACCUCCAGCCUGCAUUUGAAACUGUGGUUCUUGAGUACUGGAGAGGCAGACGGAAUUCCUAGUGUAGCGGUGAAAUGCGUAGAUAUUAGGAGGAACACCAGUGGCGAAGGCGGUCUGCUGGACAGCAACUGACGCUGAGGCGCGAAAGCGUGGGGAGCAAACAGGAUUAGAUACCCUGGUAGUCCACGCUGUAAACGAUGGAUACUAGGUGUGGGGGGUCUGACCCCCUCCGUGCCGCAGUUAACACAAUAAGUAUCCCACCUGGGGAGUACGAUCGCAAGGUUG
rnacentral:rRNA from 1 species